AAAAGCGUUCAACAGCGUAAGAGUUUGAAUCUCGAGGCCAGUUUGGGGCUUGUUUGUUUUUUGUUAUCUAUUGAUUGUAAAAAUAUGGUGAGAUGGAACAAUACGGCAGAAGUGUUGGGAUGUGCUCGUCUCUUUCGCCAUCUGUCUGUUGCUACAGGAUAGUAGAAGUAAGGCGAGAGAUGUGGGGUUUUUUUUUUUCAACACCGGAUGAUUAACAUGCAAAUUUUUCGUGUUGCUCCGAGCUGCUGUCCCACUGUUUUGUGUCACCGUGGCCGCUCACGACACUUUACUCUUCCCCCUCAUUCUUUUUCUUGUAUUUCCAUGGCACACUCUCUUUCUUAACUCUUUUUCUCGGACUCCUCCUCUUUCUGUGCCUUCUCUCGCUACAGCGUAUCCCUCCCUUCCUCUUUCUGUGUCUCUACACCACCACCACCACCCUCCUCCUCCUCCCUCCGUCCUUUUUCUCUCCUUCCCUCUUGGCAGCGGUGCCAAAGUGGGCAGGCGGACCGAGGCAAACACAGCGCAGGGCAGAGCAGAGGGCGAUCCAAAGGCUGGCGAAUUGAUUAUGUGGCUGUGUGUGAGCAGACGUCCCUCUGUCACCCCGUGUACGGACAGACGCACUCACACCAGUAGGAGGGGAUUGUGGGAAGGGGGUGUAGCUCUCAGAGGGUGUGCUCUACUCUUCUCUUUUCCCUUCUUCCCGCCAUCACGGCCCUCUUCUCCUUCAGUCCUCCGGCCCAGCCCGCCGCUCACAUACAGGCUCCAGGAAAGUUACCUUUGUGGAUCUUUGAUGAUGAAGCAACGUGGAUGCUGUCCUUGGGGCUGAGGUAGUAGAUUGAAUAGUUGUGGGGUUUUGUGACCUCUUUUUGAGAUAACUAUACAAUCUACUGUCUUUCCCAAGGAGACAGCUGAGUCAGCUACUCGCCGACUGUCAUCUCCAGAUGGGCAAUCGUGCUGUCCAAUCAAAAGAAAAAAAAAAACAAAAAACGCUUGCAGCACUCAACAUAAUUCAAGCUUUUUUUCUUUUUAUUUUUUUUACAUUUUUUCUCCCCAGAACAGGUAAAUUUGGGGCUCUGCCAGGGUGAGGUAGUAGGUUGUAUAGUUUGGUGGGUGGGAUUGCACCCCGCUCAGGUGAUAACUAUACAGUCUAUUGCCUUCCCUGAGGAGCUCACUCGACAUUGAUGAAUAUUCAGCUCACUCUCAUGGCUCAAGCAUCACACUUAUUCUCAGACAUCAUUAAAAAAGAGUAAAAAAAAGGAGCAGGGACAUUUGUGCUUCAAAGGAUUAGUUUAAUUAACCGUGGCUGUUGAACUGACUGAAGCUGUCUUACUGACCUGCUUUAAAAUAUGUACAUCUUAAAUAAAGUCACACUUGCCUCAAA